rnacentral:rRNA from 1 species
UACGAGGGGGGCGAGCGUUGUUCGGAAUUAUUGGGCGUAAAGGGUGCGUAGGCGGUUCGGUAAGUUUCGUGUGAAAUCUUCGGGCUCAACUCGAAGUCUGCACGAAAUACUGCCGGGCUUGAGUGUGGGAGAGGUGAGUGGAAUUUCCGGUGUAGCGGUGAAAUGCGUAGAUAUCGGAAGGAACACCUGUGGCGAAAGCGGCUCACUGGACCACAACUGACGCUGAGGCACGAAAGCUAGGGAGCAAACAGG